GUGUCAGCAGCCGCGGUAAUACGAAUGGGGCAAGCGUUGUUCGGAUUUACUGGGCGUAAAGCGGGCGUAGGCGGCCGGCUAAGUCGGAUGUGAAAUCCCGGGGCUCAACUCCGGAACUGCAUUCGAUACUGGUCGGCUAGAGUUCGAGAGGGGGAUGCGGAAUUCCGCGUGUAGCAGUGAAAUGCGUAGAUAUGCGGAGGAACACCUGAGGCGAAGGCGGCAUCCUGGAUCGACACUGACGCUGAGGCCCGAGAGCGUGGGGAGCAAACAGGAUUAGAUACCCGGGUAGUCCACGCCCUAAACGAUGUCUACUAGCCGUUGCGGGUAUCGACCCCUGCAGUGGCGCAGCUAACGCGAUAAGUAGACCGCCUGGGGAGUACGGCCGCAAGGUUAGAACUUAAAGGAAUUGGCGGGG
rnacentral:rRNA from 1 species